rnacentral:lncRNA from 10 species
GCUGAUCUGCUUUGGGCCCCAUAUAAUUGCAUGUGACACCAAAUGGGAAAAGAGGAUGAAUAUUCUCCUUCCCCUCCCUUGGCGUGAAACUCAGCAGAAUUUUGACACUGUGACAGAAUUUUGGCACUGUGACAGAAUUUUGACAUUGUGACAGAAUUUUGACAUUGUGAUGACGGAGUCCAGGCAGGUCACAGGUGCUGCACUUGAAUGGGGGAUAAUUGAUAAGUGUGAAUGAGAGGAGUAGCAGGAAGAGGAUGAUUUGCCAUUUUGCAAAAAGGCAUUAACUAGAGAAACUGGGACCAGAUUUACCCUUUUAUCUGGAACAACUGCAAACACUUAAAGGCAAACAGUAUGAAAACAACAGUUUAAGGCACAAGCCAUCCAACAAUGAAGGAUGAUGAAUCCUGAGAGACUGGAAAUGAAGGAUCUGAACUAUUUGAUUUCCCAAACUCACUGCCUUCAGAGUUUUCAGGCUGCAGCACAAAGAAGGGGGAACCCAGGCAGAGCCCAGUGGAUUCCCUGAGGUGAGCAGAAGGAGCUAUGGAUCCAAGCAGAGUAAGGCAGCUGUAUUUCACAGGAUGUAUUAGUUCAUUCUCACACUACUAUAAAGGAAUACCUGAGACAGGAUAAUUUAUAAAGAAAAGAGGUUUAUAAUCCCAGCACUUUGGGAGGCCGAGGCAGGCAGAUAACCUGAGGUCUGGAGUUCAAGACCAGCCUGACCAACAUGGUGAAACCCCAUCUCUACCAAAAAUACAAAAAUUUGCCCAGUGUGG